rnacentral:rRNA from 1 species
UAACGCGUAAACAACCUGCCCUACGGAUGGGGACAACAGCUGGAAACGGCUGCUAAUACCGAAUACGUUCCGAAAGUCGCAUGACUAUCGGAAGAAAGGAUGGCCUCUAUUUAUAAGCUAUCGCCGGAGGAGGGGUUUGCGUCUGAUUAGCUAGUUGGAGGGGUAACGGCCCACCAAGGCGACGAUCAGUAGCCGGUCUGAGAGGAUGAACGGCCACAUUGGAACUGAGACACGGUCCAG